GGAUCCGUGGUCUAGUGGUUAUGACAUCUGCUUUACAGUGUUAGCAUCGAUCGCAGAGGAUCGCAGGUUCGAUCCCUGCCGGAUUCA